CAUGAAAUUUACAUCUUUAUUCUCAUAAUCAUGGAUAUUUUCUUUUACGAACAUUUCAUUUAUAGGUUGUGGAUUGUGAAGACGUCCAAUUUGAAGAUCUGACGUUUUCUGAAAGUCUCUGUGAGAUUGCUCCUGAUCGACCAAAGGGAGCUGAAGCUGCUUCUGCAGUACCCAACCAGAUGCUACAGCCUCAACCUUCCAGCAGUGCAACAGAACUGGAUAUUAAUUCUCUUUACAUGCCUAGGCUUCCCUAUGUAGGUGAAGAGCAAAUUAAAGUCUAUGAAGACUAUGUGAUUGGUAGUGGUAACUUUGGAACUGUGUACAGGGGAUCCUACCAGGGGACAGUUGCUGCCAUUAAAAAAAUCCCCAUUCAAGGAUCUCUGAAUGACAUAACACAUGAGAUUCUCGUCUGCACGUGAGUAUGGCCUCCUAUUUCUUUUCUCAUAAGGCUUUGUUUAAUUAUUUUUACCCUGCCUACAGGAGACUGUAGGAUGUAGUAUUAAGUUAUUAGUAUUAGUAAA